CACCGCGGUUAUACGGAAGGCUCAAGUUGAUAGCCCCCGGCGUAAAGUGUGGUCAAGGAAACCCUUUAAAACUAAAGUCAAACGCCCUCACUGCAGUCAAACGCCCCCGAGGGUUAGAAGCCCCACCACGAAAGUGACUUUACAUAACCUGAACCCACGAGAGCUAGGGAA
rnacentral:rRNA from 2 species